rnacentral:rRNA from 1 species
UACGAAGGGGGCUAGCGUUGCUCGGAAUUACUGGGCGUAAAGGGCGCGUAGGCGGUCCUGUUAGUCAGGCGUGAAAUUCCUGGGCUCAACCUGGGGACUGCGCUUGAUACGGCAGAGCUUGAGGAUGGAAGAGGGUCGCGGAAUUCCCAGUGUAGAGGUGAAAUUCGUAGAUAUUGGGAAGAACACCGGUGGCGAAGGCGGCGACCUGGUCCAUUACUGACGCUGAGGCGCGACAGCGUGGGGAGCAAACAGG